rnacentral:rRNA from 1 species
CGUUAGCGGCGCGCCUAACACAUGCAAGUCGCACGAGAAAGGGGGGCAACCCCCGGUACAGUGGCGCACGGGUGAGUAACACGUGGGUGAUCUGCCCAGAAGAAGGGGAUAACCUCUCGAAAGGGGGGCUAAUACCGCAUAGGACCACCGGGGCUCUGGCUCUGUGGUGAAAGGGGGCCUCUGUUUACAAGCUCCUGCUUCUGGAUGAGCCCGCGUCCCAUCAGCUAGUUGGUAGGGUAAUGGCCUACCAAGGCUACGACGGGUAGCUGGUCUAAGAGGAUGGCCAGCCACACUGGAACUGAGACACGGUCCAGACUCCUACGGGAGGCAGCAGUGGGGAAUCUUGCGCAAUGGGCGAAAGCCUGACGCAGCGACGCCGCGUGGGUGACGAAGGCCUCGG